UGUGGGGAAGAUGAGAGCCAGAGCAAAGGUCAGAGGAUCCAUCAGAGACUCAAAUCAGAACCAGAACCAGAACCCAGCUGUGUGUCCUUUAAGAGUGACGAGUCAAAGGAUAAUUUCAUUACCUUUAAAUCUCCUGGAUCUUCACCAUCAGAGAGAGUGGACCAGCAGAGCUCAGAGGUUCCCAGUGGU